UUUUAAAUCUUGAUAAGGUUAUUACCGAUAUGGAAAACCGGAUCCAAGCUAUUAAUAAGGCUAAUAGACAACUAUUAUUGAGUGUCAAAUCGCUUGAUCUUAAACUUAGAAGUCUAGAGGGAGUUGAUGCAGUGGUGGAAAACAUAGUUAAAGAAUGCUCAGUAAACUAUGGCUGUAAUUUUUCUGAACAAAUGGCCUAUGUCUGCGAUAAUACCGUUUUGUUGGCCAAUAAAAUAGUGGAGUUGUUCAACAAGAGUAAUUUCUGUCUUCAUACCCAAAAAAAUUUUGAGGACAUUUUUCACAAAUCAAAAAACCAAAUUAACAUCCCCUCUUUUAAGACAGUGGAGGGACUUUAAAUUGUUAAUAGCAAGUAAACUCUGCACUUGUAGGUAAUGAAGUAUAGAGCUCAAAUAAUCUAC